rnacentral:misc_RNA from 1 species
GAUGAAGAACGUAGCGAAAUGCGAUAAGUAAUGUGAAUUGCAGAAUUCAGUGAAUCAUCGAAUCUUUGAACGCACCUUGCACCCUUUGGACUGCUCCAAAGGGUAUGCUCGUUUGAGUGUCAUUGUAAUCUCACACUCUCUGAUCCUUUGGAUUUGGGGAGCAGUGGACUUGGGUGCUUGCUGCUUCCUUGUGGCUCACCUGAAAUGCAUCAGUGCAUCUCUCGAUUGGACAUAGUACGGCGUGAUAAGUGUCUUCGCCGGCACCUCAUAUGAGGGUGGCCGAUCGGGAGCUCUGUGCUUUCAAACCGUCUUCGGACAACGCUGACAACUUGACCUCAAAUCGAGUAGGACUACCCGCUGAACUUAAGCAUAUCAAUAAGCGGAGGA